UACGUAGGUGGCGAGCGUUGUCCGGAUUUACUGGGCGUAAAGGGAGCGUAGGCGGACUUUUAAGUGAGAUGUGAAAUACUCGGUCUCAACUUGAGUGCUGCAUUUCAAACUGGAAGUCUAGAGUGCAGGAGAGGAGAAUGGAAUUCCUAGUGUAGCGGUGAAAUGCGUAGAGAUUAGGAAGAACACCAGUGGCGAAGGCGAUUCUCUGGACUGUAACUGACGCUGAGGCUCGAAAGCGUGGGGAGCAAACAGG
rnacentral:rRNA from 1 species